rnacentral:lncRNA from 1 species
AGACAUUUUGACACAGCCAAAAGUGAACAGACUCUAUAUUAUCGAGGCCAAAAUGGGUUACUUCCGAGACCCUAUGGCCUAUCACCAAACCAGGUAUGAGAGAAAGAGAAACCAAAAUACUACCUGGAUUAGCCAUACGGCAUUCUUGCUAUAAAGAGCAUUGUUCACAAACCAACUUGCAAGCUGAUCCCAUUCGCUCUGUUUUCUUCCAUAAACAGAGAUCCUGUACUCGGCCAU